rnacentral:rRNA from 1 species
GACUUUACUGUCGGCUGUAGCUAAACUUACACAUGCAAGUAUCCGCACCCCCGUGAGAAUGCCCCAACAGUUUCCCGCCCGGAAACAAGGAGCCGGUAUCAGGCACAACCUUCACCAGCCCACGACACCUUGCUUAGCCACACCCUCAAGGGACUUCAGCAGUGAUAAACAUUAAGCUAUGAGUGAAAACUCGACUUAGUCAAAGCUCAGAGGGCCGGUAAAACUCGUGCCAGCCACCGCGGUUAUACGAGAGGCCCAAGUUGACAGACAGCGGCGUAAAGAGUGGUUAGGGAAAUUUUUAAACUAAAGCCGAACGUCCUCAGAGCUGUCUAACGCUUACGAGUUAAGAAGCCCCAUUACGAAAGUAGCUUUAUCUAACCUGACCCCACGAAAGCUGAGAAACAAACUGGGAUUAGAUACCCCACUAUGCUCAGCCCUAAACUUUGAUAGGUCACUACGCCCCCUAUCCGCCCGGGUACUACGAGCAUUAGCUUGAAACCCAAAGGACUUGGCGGUGCUUCAUAUCCGUCUAGAGGAGCCUGUUC